UAGAUUUUACUUACACAUAGGAAAGUAUAUGGUGGUCAUGUAAAAUGGAAAUAUGCCACUCUUGAUGUUUUCUUCUUUGUGUUACAGAUCUAUGCCUUGAUAGGUCUUCAGUUACUCAUGGUGAAACAUGUUAGAUAUUAGGUCCCAUAAGAGCAUGUGGCCAAGAUGGCCAGCUCCACCAAAGAUUCAUACUUCCCCUUCCAUAGUAUGGAGUUGUGCUGGGAAGCAGUUUUCCCACCAGGGACAACAUCUUCUAGUCCUUUUACAUCUAAGUAGUACCAUGAGACUGGAUCAUGCCAAAGAAAUGUUUUGGAAGUGAGAUGUUUCACUUUGGAACCAAGGAACUGAAAAAACAGAUAGAGGGAGCCCAAGCCAAGAAGAGAGGUCUGGUAUCAAAGAUUUGCUGAAUUCACAAUUGAAGAGGCUUAUGUCAGUCCCUUAGAAAGAAUUUGAGGACUCCUCGGAAAAUUGCUGAGUUGAGUAAAUAUUUCCUUCCAUAAAGGUAAAUAAGCAUCUCAAGAGCAAGUUUCUACAUUUUGUAUUUCCCUGUUUUAUUUCUGUAAAAUUGUGCAACCAAGAAUUAUGACCUACUGAUAUUAGAAUAAAAUUUGCAGAAGUUUGA
rnacentral:lncRNA from 1 species